UACAGAGGGUGCGAGCGUUAAUCGGAAUUACUGGGCGUAAAGGGUGCGUAGGUGGUUUGAUAAGUCGUGUGUGAAAGCCCUGGGCUCAACCUGGGAAUUGCACAUGAAACUAUUAGGCUAGAGUAUAGUAGAGGGAAGUGGAAUUUCCGGUGUAGCGGUGAAAUGCGUAGAUAUCGGAAGGAACAUCAGUGGCGAAGGCGACUUCCUGGACUGUAACUGACACUGAGGCACGAAAGCGUGGGUAGCAAACAGG
rnacentral:rRNA from 1 species